rnacentral:tRNA from 1 species
UAGCUCAGAUGGUAAAGAAUCUGCCUGCAAUGCAGAAGAUCUGGGUUCAAUUCCUGG